GAACAGGAGCCAAAAUGUGGUUCUAAGGGCAUGACUCUGGAGCUAUCAGCUUUCUAAAGAGGAAAUGUACUGAGUCACAGAGCUGUCUGAAGUGCUCAGGCUGUUUGCAAUAUGGAUGCAGAGAAGAAGCAAAAUCACCCAUGAAAGGAGCCAUGAAGUUUGUGGUGAAAGCUAGAAUUAGAGCCAUUUCCAGACAUGAGCAAUAUUCCCACCUUGGCUCACAGCUCACGUGCUGCAAGCGUGGUCUACGAAAGCAAAGGUUGGUCUCUGCAAUGCCAGCAGAUGAAAGGACAUUCAGUUCCUGCUCUGAGCAGCAUUUUCGUUUCCUCUGGGUCUUGUGGAGCUCCUGUGAUUGACCAACUCACUCUGCAGCCAUGCCUCCUCAUCUUUUGGCAUCUCAGACACCCACAGAACCCAUCUAGAAUAUGAAUGAAGGUGACUCUCAGACUGUCCUAAGAUUUAUUUUAGAAGAGUUAACAAAACCUACUGAUAACAAGAGGUAAAGGAUUUCCCAUUGAAGAUGCUU